rnacentral:sRNA from 23 species
GUCAACUACCCACGGCUAAAGCCGAGGGCUUGAAACCCUUAGUUGACUAGCCUAAGCACUGUGAGUGCUACGUUACCCGUGAAUAUAUAGGUAUCUUGGGGUACUCCUCCAGCUCCAAGCACUACG